rnacentral:rRNA from 1 species
AGGGGCUGUGUUUAUUAGAUACAAAACCAACCCACAUUGUGGAGUCCUGGUGAUUCAUAGUAACCGAACGGAUCGCAGUUGGCUUCGGCCCGCGAUGGAUCUUUCAAGUUUCUGACCUAUCAGCUUUCGACGGUAGGGUAUUGGCCUACCGUGGCAGUGACGGGUAACGGGGAAUUAGGGUUCGAUUCCGGAGAGGGAGCCUGAGAAACGGCUACCACAUCUAAGGAAGGCAGCAGGCGCGCAAAUUACCCAAUGAAAACAGUUUCGAGGUAGUGACGAGAAAUAACAAUACAGGGCAUUUUAUGCUCUGUAAUUGGAAUGAUGGGAAUGUAAAACCCUUUCAGAGUAACAAUUGGAGGGCAAGUCUGGUGCCAGCAGCCGCGGUAAUUCCAGCUCCAAUAGUGUAUAUUAGAGUUGUUGCAGUUAAAAAGCUCGUAGUUGGAUUUCUGUCGUGGUCAUCCGGUUGCACCCGUAUGGGUGUGCACCUGGUAUGCCCUCGGCUUUAUUCCGGUAGCUUUCCGCGCUUCGUUGCGUGUGUUUGUGUUCCGGAACUUUUACUUUGAGAAAAAUAGAGUGUUUCAAGCAGGCUUGUAGCCCUGAAUACUUUAGCAUGGAAUAAUAAGAUAGGACCUUGGUUCUAUUUUGUUGGUUUCUAGGACCAAGGUAAUGAUUAAUAGGGACAGUUGGGGGCAUUCGUAUUUAACUGUCAGAGGUGAAAUUCUUAGAUUUGUUAAAGACGAACUACUGCGAAAGCAUUUGCCAAGGAUGUUUUCAUUAAUCAAGAACGACAGUAGGGGGUUUGAAGACGAUUAGAUACCGUCGUAAUCUCUACCAUAAACUAUGCCGACUAGAGAUAGGGAAACGCCUACCUUGGCUUCUCCUGCACCUCAUGAGAAAUCAAAGUCUCUGGGUUCUGGGGGGAGUAUGGUCGCAAGGCUGAAACUUAAAGGAAUUGACGGAAGGGC